ACUGUAUGUGAUGGCGUAACGGGCCCACCCGUUCCCAUCCCGAACACGGUAGUUAAGCUUCUCUGCGCCAAUGGUAGUUGGGGGCUUCCCCCUGCGAGAGUAGGUCGCUGCCGGGC
rnacentral:rRNA from 1 species